UACGAAGGGGGCUAGCGUUGUUCGGAUUUACUGGGCGUAAAGCGCACGUAGGCGGAUCGAUCAGUCAGGGGUGAAAGCCCGGAGCUCAACUUCGGAAUUGCCUUUAAAACUGCAUCGCUUGAAUCCGGGAGAGGUGAGUGGAAUUCCGAGUGUAGAGGUGAAAUUCGUAGAUAUUCGGAAGAACACCAGUGGCGAAGGCGGCUCACUGGACCGGCAUUGACGCUGAGGUGCGAAAGCGUGGGGAGCAAACAGG
rnacentral:rRNA from 1 species